CUUUCGUUAGGGGUACCUGCGGAAGGAUCAUUACUGAGUGCGGGCUGCCUCCGGGCGCCCAACCUCCCACCCGUGAAUACCUAACACUGUUGCUUCGGCGGGGAACCCCCUCGGGGGCGAGCCGCCGGGGACUACUGAACUUCAUGCCUGAGAGUGAUGCAGUCUGAGUCUGAAUAUAAAAUCAGUCAAAACUUUCAACAAUGGAUCUCUUGGUUCCGGCAUCGAUGAAGAACGCAGCGAACUGCGAUAAGUAAUGUGAAUUGCAGAAUUCAGUGAAUCAUCGAGUCUUUGAACGCACAUUGCGCCCCCUGGCAUUCCGGGGGGCAUGCCUGUCCGAGCGUCAUUGCUGCCCAUCAAGCCCGGCUUGUGUGUUGGGUCGUCGUCCCCCCCGGGGGACGGGCCCGAAAGGCAGCGGCGGCACCGUGUCCGGUCCUCGAGCGUAUGGGGCUUUGUCACCCGCUCGACUAGGGCCGGCCGGGCGCCAGCCGACGUCUCCAACCAUUUUCUUCAGGUGACCUCGGAUCAGGUAGAUCCCCAG
rnacentral:rRNA from 1 species